UAGUAAGGUAGUAUCCUAAGUGCUUGUAAUUCUUUGAAACAGACUUGAGGAAUUAAUUGUUCUAUUUAAAUAUGCAUUCUGGUGCAAAAUUUAAAACAUCUCUUGUUCACCUUCUCCAUACUCUUCCUGUUUUUUUCAUUUUCACCAUUCUUCCUGUAGCCUAAAAUCUCUAUUUUCUUCCUGUAGGUAACUGUAGGUCUUCUGCAAUAUCAGAGUGAUAAAAUGACACUUGAACAGAUUCAUGGGAACCUAGGGAGUGUGACCUGUCAACUCUGGUUGACAACUCUGCCCAAGUCCAAGAUCACCUAUGUCUUUGUCAUUCCUUGACAGAAAACAGUUUAAACUCUUUCUGGAUACUGAGUGAUGGCUACAGGUGAUUAUUCUGAAGGGUACAAUUCUGCAUUUCCUUCUGAAGCUCUGCUCUGUGACAGCUUAGCUGGAUUGCAGCAGACAAGCCCAGUCCUUUGUCCAGAGCUGUGAUUGCUGUGACCCCACUGUCCCCACCACAGGAUUCUCUUCCCCAGGGAUGGAUCCUGGUCCCUGUGCUGUGUCAGCCAGGAGAGGAGAAGGACAGACCCCUGCUGUCACCAAGGACACCCCAAAUCUCUCCUGAGCCUCAUCCAAAAAGGUACAAUGCUGCUGUUUGCAGAGGAAGGACACCAGCUGCAACAAAAGUAGUGUCUGUUCUAGAGUGAGGGAUGAGCUCCACUGGACAUGAGUUGGCUUCCCUGGCUGCUGUGCUCAGUAUUUCAUUUUAGCAAGUCUGAGAUUGCUCCAAGUCUUCAUCUCCUCCUCCUUUAUGCCACUGCAAGCACCAGGUUGUAUGUUAUUGAAGAGAGAGAAAUAGAAAGUGCAAUGCAGUGUUUUAUUUCAUGCUGCCCAAGUUUACUCAGACAGACACACCCAGAGAGAACGUGUGCUGCACUCAGCUUGGAGAUCUGUGUUAGAAAUCCUGGCUCCCCUGUGCUUUCCUGCUUUGCCAUAGCUGAUAAGAGAGUUUAUAACAGGAACCCCCUGUUACCUCAGCUGCAAAUGGUUCUGAGAAUCUAAUGGCCAAGAGAGCAGAAUUUAAAUUUAUUUUUGUUUGGCUUGUGUUCCAGCAAGCAUUUAAAAGAUCCCCCAGUUUAUCUUUGUCAGAGAUUGUUUUUCUUUUGGCUUAGCUUGGACACCAAUCUCACUGUUGAGUUUACAUUUAUGGAGUGGGACCCAAGGUUUUCUCCAAGCAUUCAGUAUUAUGAUUUUGACUUUGCAAGUCUUGUUGCUUGGGAUAGGUGUAAAAGUCAUGUCUGCAUGUACAGCAAGAACAGAACUGGGCUGUGGAUGCUGCUACUUAGUCAACUGGGCAGGAACAAAAUUCUGGAGGCUGCCUCUCCUCUUGGCUGGCAGGCAGAAGAGUUGGUAAAAGCUGCAAAGACAACUGAGCACCUUAAUGAUGACAUUUAUUUUUUAUUUUAUUUCAUUGGUGGAUUUUGAGGAAUAGUUUUUAAAAUGCAGUUAUUUUACUGUCCUUUAGCAAAGCAUGUGUGACCACAGCUGUUUUUCCAAAAUGCCUGGUUCGCUUGCUUUUGUUGCCACCAGUAGAGUUCUCACUCCACAUAGCAAUGUCCACAAGGUGGUGCCACAGCUAAGAACUUUGCAACAAAUAAGGCAAGUAACAUGAUAAUUCUGUCUGCUUUUUGUAACUGACUGAAGUAUCUGCAUCGUGAAAGAAUUAAUAAUCAUUUCAUAAGCCAAAUAUCACAGGUUUGCAGCUCUUUUUUUGUGAGAACUAAGGUGGGUCUGUCUGCUGAGCAAGAGCAGCAUCCACACACCUGAGACUGUCCCAAAUCCUGCACAGAAAUGAGGAGGCAGCUCAGGGUUUAGCAGUCAGGCUGAUAAAGAGCUGUGUAUUUCCUAGCAGGGUUACCUGUGCCAACACUGGCAUGUGUCUCACGUUUUUAUCUGGUCACUUCAGCAGGAAUCAGCCUGAAUCCUGACAAGCAGAAUAGUUCAUCCACAGCUUCACCCAAGACAGCUUCUACUUACCCUGGACAGGCUAUGGCACAUCAGACCCGAAUUUCCUGAGUUUUUCUAGAGUCAGGGAUAUCCAGGCUCCCUGUCCUAUGUUAAUCUACAGCUGAUUAUUAAUUCCAAAGGGUAUGAAAUGCUCACAGAGGGACCUGCACAGAUGCUCAAGUUUCUGAGCAUCUUUUUAAAAAAGAUCAGACUAGAGAAGGUAGAAGGCAGUAACAGAGAAUGUAAAAUGUCAUGUGUCCAGUACAGAAAAGACAAUAAAACUUCCAGGGAAAAGUUGUUUGUAGGGAUCUGGAUGACUGCACUGAUUUUGAUGUCCCAGAAGUGCAGCAGGAUUUGGCCAUGCCCUCAGAAGGUGUGGGUCAGUUCUUCAGCUACCCUUGGCCACAUGGUGCUUCUUGCACCUCUGCCCUGCUCCCCUCAGUGGCCUCUGUAAUCCAGGUGUUUGUGCUAGCAACAGAAAUACUCCCUGUCAGCUUCUGCAGUGGAUAAAUGAAGUUUGAAUCAUUUAUUCUUUACAUAUUUUUGUACCCAAAGCAGCAAGAAAAAGGGAUACCUUAAAAUACCAUUCAGACAAGCAUUGACCUGCCUCCACCUAGAAUCUCUCUUUGCUAGGCCUGUAUCAGAAAGAAAAAAAUAAUAGGGUUUGCAUAAUAUUUCCUCUAAAUUGCUACAUUAUUAUUUUAAAACAUAUUAAAAUUUUUCUGGCUAGUAAGGGACUCAGUGGAAAUUAUGUAUAUCCAGGAAAGAUGGUUUGUCCCCCAGUUACAAAGCAGAAUGAGGUGUAGAAGCUUAUUGAGUACAGUUAUAAAAGUUGUCAAAUAACACAAUGGCCACCUAUUUUGUUUUUAAGGAUCAUAUCUAUAAAUUAUAUGUAAAAGUGGUUUACAGUACUUUGAAACUUUGUAUUGGUUUCAUCAUCUGUUAGAAAAAGUCAGAA